GACCGAAAAAGGCAAACCGUGCGAAAGCACGGGGCGCAAAGCCGACGGUCUAAGGGUUUUAAACCUAUGACGGCAGGGUUACCGAA
rnacentral:ncRNA from 1 species